UCACUCAGCCUUUCGUUGUGCAUG
rnacentral:piRNA from 1 species